UACGUAGGAGGCAAGCGUUGUCCGGAAUCACUGGGCGUAAAGCGCGUGUGGGCGGAUCGCUAAGUCUGUGGUGAAAGCGCCUGGCUUAACCGGGCGAGGUCCAUGGAAACUAGCGGUCUGGAGGCCGGUAGAGGGGGGUGGAAUUCCGGGUGUAGUGGUGAAAUGCGUAGAGAUCCGGAGGAACACCAGUGGCGAAGGCGGCCCCCUGGGCCGCGCCUGACGCUGAGACGCGAAAGCGCGGGGAGCGAACGGG
rnacentral:rRNA from 1 species